rnacentral:rRNA from 1 species
AGUGAACGCUGGCGGUAGGCCUAACACAUGCAAGUCGAACGGCAGCACAGUAAGAGCUUGCUCUUACGGGUGGCGAGUGGCGGACGGGUGAGGAAUACAUCGGAAUCUACUUUUUCGUGGGGGAUAACGUAGGGAAACUUACGCUAAUACCGCAUACGACCUACGGGUGAAAGCAGGGGAUCUUCGGACCUUGCGCGAUUGAAUGAGCCGAUGUCGGAUUAGCUAGUUGGCGGGGUAAAGGCCCACCAAGGCGACGAUCCGUAGCUGGUCUGAGAGGAUGAUCAGCCACACUGGAACUGAGACACGGUCCAGACUCCUACGGGAGGCAGCAGUGGGGAAUAUUGGACAAUGGGCGCAAGCCUGAUCCAGCCAUACUGCGUGGGUGAAGAAGGCCUUCGGGUUGUAAAGCCCUUUUGUUGGGAAAGAAAAGCAGCAGGUUAAUACCCCACUGUUCUGACGGUACCCAAAGAAUAAGCACCGGCUAACUUCGUG